AGGAGACAGUGCUGUCGGGAC
rnacentral:miRNA from 1 species